AUCUUCACGGUCACACUCGUCCCGGUAUCAAAUCCCGCCUCUUUCAGCCAGUCGCCUUUAAGGUGCAGGCUGGGGCUGCGUGUAUAUCCGGUGGGGACUUUGGUUUUGCGGUUAGCGCG
rnacentral:sRNA from 1 species